CUUAGAUUAAUUAGUUAACUUAGGUUAUAAACCGAAAUCCUUGGAUCUUAUUCUAUGUUAGUUAGUUUAUGUCAGGUAGACAGAUUAAAACGUAGAAUAUGUAGUGAUAAGUAAGUCGACUAGGAUUAUAUCUGUUUCACAACUUUAUCAUUUUUAUUUAUCGCAGUGGCAAUGAUGUCAAUGUGUUUAGUAUACUCUGAUUUGAUGAAAAUUUGGUGAGGGUUAAAGUUACCCUGUUAUUAUAAAAUUGUUACAAAUUUUUGUAAGAUUUACGUGAGUUACUUGUUUACGGGUUGUGCUUGUGUAAUUAUAUGACAUAGUUUAUGUUUAAAUUAGUAAUAAUAAUAUUGGUAUUGUUUCUCGAGUUUUUCCCGUCUGUUUAUUAAAAACAUUUCUAUAUUUAAUAUUAUAUAGUAGUACCUGCUCUAUGUUUAUAUAAAUGGCCGCAGUAUCUUGACUGUGCGAAGGUAGCAUAAUUAAUUGCCCUAUAAUUGAGGGCUUGUUUGAAAGGUUUGACGUGGUAAUUACAAACAUUUCUAAUAUAUUUGAAAUUAUUUUAGAGGGCACAGAAACCUCUAAUUUAAAUUAGACGGAAAGACCCCGGGAUCUUUCAUUUUUGCCUGGGGCAGGUUUUAGUGUUUCACUUUUAUUAUGACCCUUUGUUUAAGUUUAGUGAGUUAAGUUACCCCGGGGAUAACAGUGUAAUAGCUUAAUAGAGAUCUGAUCGAUUAAGCUGCUUGUUACCUCGAUGUUGACUUAGGUUUUAGUUUAGGCGCAGUAGUUUAAAUUUUAGGUCUGU
rnacentral:rRNA from 1 species